rnacentral:rRNA from 1 species
GAUCCUGGCUCAGGAUGAACGCUAGCUACAGGCUUAACACAUGCAAGUCGCGGGGCAGCAUGUUGGUUGCUUGCAACCGAUGAUGGCGACCGGCGCACGGGUGAGUAACGCGUAUCCAACCUUCCCCAUAGUAGGGUACAGCCCGGCGAAAGUCGGAUUAAUGCCCUAUGUUCUUCGCAGAUGGCAUCUGAUGUGAAGCAAAGGUUUUCCGCUAUGGGAUGGGGAUGCGUCUGAUUAGCUUGCCGGCGGGGUAACGGCCCACCGGGGCGACGAUCAGUAGGGGUUCUGAGAGGAAGGUCCCCCACACUGGUACUGAGACACGGACCAGACUCCUACGGGAGGCAGCAGUGAGGAAUAUUGGUCAAUGGGCGGGAGCCUGAAAACCCAGCCAAGUAGCGUGCAGGAUGACGGCCCUACGGGUUGUAAACUGCUUUUAUAACCGAGAAAUAUGAUGGUAAGUUAUGAAUAAGGACCGGCUAACUACGUGCCAGCCGCUGC